CGUGCUACAAUGGCAUAUACAAAGAGAAGCGACCUCGCGAGAGCAAGCGGACCUCAUAAAGUAUGUCGUAGUCCGGAUUGGAGUCUGCAACUCGACUCCAUGAAGUCGGAAUCGCUAGUAAUCGUAGAUCAGAAUGCUACGGUGAAUACGUUCCCGGGCCUUGUACACACCGCCCGUCACACCAUGGGAGUGGGUUGCAAAAGAAGUAGGUAGCUUAACCUUCGGGAGGGCGCUUACCACUUUGUGAUUCAUGACUGGG
rnacentral:rRNA from 1 species